CUCAAUGCCCUGCCACUGGGCAAUGUGCACAGGAAGGGUGAACUUUCCAGACCCCAAGAGACCACUUUCUAAGCUUCGCUCUUGGCCUGAACUUGAAACACAGUGAAGAUCUGCGGUCUCACAAGCACUCCAAAGAGCCUCGCUGGCUUGGUAAUGCCGGGAAGGUGUGAGGCAGGGAGGGUAGGGGAGCUGGCCAGGCUGGUGGCAGGUCCUUCUGCAGAGACCCAUCAUCUCAUUCUCCCAAUACGAGGCACCCAGGUGUCCCAUUCGGCCAGUGCCUCUGCUUUCAUGCACUGUUCCUGUUAUGUUUCUUUAAAUCCAGUCUGCUCCUGCAGGAGACUCCCUGGCAAGUGAAAACAGCAGCAAAGGUAAAAGAAUGCUGAGAAUUUGGCUGCUGCCUGCAGUAUUAGGGGGAACAGCAAUUACUCAACCCUCCUAGUGUCAGAGGCAGAAAGGAGCAUGUGAAUUUCGGCAAGUUUUGGCCUGUCUUUGCUCAAGCUUCUCCCUUUCCUUAUCUGUCACCCACCUACCUCAGAGCCGUAAUAAUUAAUGAAGUAAAUGAGAAAAUGGAGAGAGAGCAAAAGCAGCGGGCCAGCACCGACAUAAAAGAGAGGCAUACAUUCUACCUUGAAUCCAGGUUAGGCCAGUUAAUAAAGCUUAAAGAUUGCCAACACUUAAAAAGAUGUCACUAACUUCCCGACAGAUAACGAUGUUUUGCUGUCCCCACCCCCUCCACUAAAGGUAACUAUGGGAGAACUCUUGACCUGUUGCAAGCUCUUCUGUUGACAGCAUUUGGCAAAGGAUCCAGGAGACACUCACCACCCUCUCCUUCUCUAGCUCUGCAAACACAAGCAAAGCUCCAAACUAUGGAAAGUGCAAAACAAUAGGAAGGUUUUCAAGCUUUGCCUUUGACAAGAUGAUGAAAUGUCCCUCGCGCCCUCUGUGAGGUCCAUACCCCCUGUAUGGAUGGUGGGUGACUCCUCGCUCAGCCCAGGGCUGACGUGGUUUUAUACGUACGUACGAACAUACUCUCAACACUGUUAAGUCCGGGUCAGGUCAAACUUGCUCAAGGUGGCUUUGCCUCAUUCUGGCAGGUCUUUUGGAGUCUUAAAAAAGAGGUAUCACAAGUCUCCUAUACUGAGAUGCCUUUUUGCUUUAUCACAGCUGUGAACUGUUUUGCUCGUGGCUUUGGAUAAGAAGCUAAAUAAGUUACCUCUGAUAGACCAGGACUUCAUGGGCUCAGGUUUCCUUCUGCCCUGCCAGAAAUUCCUUUCUGUUUUGAAUCUGAGAUGUUUGUUUAUGGUUUUUGUUUUGAAAUGCUAAACAAGACAGGCAUGGUCUCUAGUUACAGCCUACAGUAUAUCUUUUUUUUUUUAACCUGCUGUAGCCAGAGUGACUGGUUGCUAAAGACUUAGCUAAAAUUUC